rnacentral:misc_RNA from 1 species
CUGUGACUUUUCCAGUGAUCCGAUCAGACCAAAGAGUUUGAGCCCCUCUUGUACAAACAACUUCUGUUUCUUUCAUCAUGCAAGUGUUUCCCACCCCAAUAAUGUCAUUUACAGCAUGCUCUCUAGGUCGAGCUUCCAAGCAAAUUGGUACAGUAUCUUCCCCUAUUUUCUUAUCAAAUACCCUAACUGAAAGAGAUGUACUGGAGGAACUGGAUGCCUUCACACUCCCAGAAUGCUCCACAUUGAUGCUACCAUCUCUUCCUGAAGAACCCAAAACCUUCUC